CGCCGCCAAACACCAAUGGCUGUCAUAGAGGAUCGACGGCGACGUAAAUACAACCUUUAAAAUCGGAAUAUCUAAACAACACGGCUUUUGAGGCCUCGAUGGAUGAUGUCUCCUCCGGAUCUGGCAUGGGUUAUGACACCUUUUACUUCACAUCAGAUGUAUCAAGAGAGUUAGAAAGCAUGUCACAUGGCUCAGCAAGAUGUAAUAGACCAGAAGAUGAGGAUCAAGUAAAUAUUCACCAGGAAAACAGUAUGGAAAAUUGGAUUACAAAUGAUGAGACUAAUAGUGACCAGAAAAAAUUUUGUGUCAUCGAUAAUCAUAUGGGAAUAGGAGACGAUUGGUUACAAGGCAGUGUACAUGUGAAUGAGAGGACAAAGUCCAGUGCAGAGGAUGAAGAUAAUUUUAGUGCAGGAGAUGAGGAAGAAAGGUACAAUGCUGAUGAUGAAGAUAAGUUUAGCACAGAGGAGGAAAUAAAAUACAGUGCAGAAGAGGACGACAUCACCUUGAGCACAGAGGAGGAAGCCAAGUAUAGUGCCGACGAGGACGAGGCAAAAUACUGCGUAGAAGACGUAAAAUCCAGCGGAGAGGAAGACGAAGUUAAGUAUAGCACCGAAGAGGACGAAACAAAGUACAGUGCAGACGAAGAAUGCAAAAUAAGUACAGAGGAGGAAGGCAAAUACAGUGCUGAUGAGUUAGAUGAUGAAUGGCUUGGAACACAAGGUCACGUGGAUGGUCAGUUUGAAGAGAGGGCCAAAGAAAGAUGGGUGGGUUGUUCUGAGUAUGGUGUAGGGAAUACUGAACAACAGUGGCAGAGCAGUAGUGAAGAGGUAGAACACUCUUCAACAGAAAGUGAAGUAGAAUUAAGUGAGGAGGAUCAAGAGGAAGUCAUAAACAAGGGUACAGGUGAUCUUCCUUCUACCUCAUCUGUUAGUUUUGGUGAAGCAACUGUUGCUCAGCCUGUGCUCUGUUUUGAUGAGUAUGGGAACUUAACCACAACGUAUCAUAGUCCAACAGUGAAUUUAGUUAAAAUGCCAAACUUGAGUACAGACAAAAUGUUGCCAGAAUCCAAAAAUAUUUCUGUGUCAUUACCGACAAAUGAACCGAACAAGAGGAAAAGUGGUUCUCCCUAUUGUGAGGAGUGUAUUGAGGAACCUUACAAUGGAGAAGUUAAAGCCUUGAGAAGUAGAUCAAAGGUUGGCCAGGAAAGUGGGGAAAAUGUAUUAUCUGACCAGGAAUUAAAACAAGCUUUCAAGGAAGAAUUCAUGACUGCUGCUACUAGUCGCUAUGGGAGAGCAAGGAAGCGUAAGACUGAAGAUGGGUUUUUCUUUGGGACCAUAAAUUUUAAUGAAUUAAGAAAAAUUACCUCAGGUAGUCCAAAGAAAAGCAAAGGCUCAAGUUCUAAGAAUUCCAGUCCAGAACAGAAAAUGAAGCACAUCACAAAAGAGGACCUUAAAGAUAAGCUCAAUGUAGAUCAAGUAAAUGAAGAAGUUAUUCAGAAUGGUACAGUCAAGUAUGAUGAGGGAGAAGGUGGAGAAAUAAGAGGGAAUAUUUCUUCAAGCAAAGUACAAAUAUCUGAAACCAAAGAUGAAAUAUUAGUACAAACCUCGAGUGUUGGGCAGAGUGAUAGUAGUGAUAAAGACUUAAGUAAGUAUAUUAGAAAUAAGCACGACACACACAGAGAUCUAAAGCUGAAGAACGACACAGCCUCUAAUGGUGGUUUUGGAAAGAACGCUAAUGUAGAGGAGCAGAUGAACAUGAAUUUUAAGCCGACAAACUUUGGCACACAAGAGGGUAAUUCAACAAAUGUGGAUACAACAGAAUCUGGUGACAGCAUUGAUGAUGUGUCGGAUAGAGCAAGCAUUUAUGACAGACGGAGGAGACUAAGCCUCCGAAAAAGAUCGUGCUCAGUAACGAGGGUUACUGAAUCACAUUCCAUUGUUAGCUCAGACAGGUUGCUUAGAGGAAGAUCCGACGUGUCCAGGAUAAAGCGUUCUCUCCAGGCAUGUGAGCAAGUGGUUCCUCAUAAGCGACCCAAAAAAACAAUCCCAGAAAUUGAGCCUCCGAUGUAUGUAUCAAAUUCAGUUUCAACGGAUUCUCAAGACUCUCAGGAGGAUCAUGGGGAAGAUCCAGAGUCAUUGACUAGACCUCCCUCCACCCGCAAAUCAUCUCAAGAGUUUAAAGCAGAGAGUGAAGAGCUCGCAUCAAUAACAAAAUCAGGAAGAAUAAUACGAAAACCCCAGCUGAUGGAUAUAUCAAAUGAGGACAAGCGGCAGAAGUUGUCAAGGGAACAGCAAAGACAAAGCGAAGCACUGCUCAGCUCAAGCCUAGAUGAGGAGUUUGCCCACUCUGGUUUAAACAUGCGUGCACUCGAACAAGAGAAUCCAUGUAAGCACUUGGUUGGUGACCUGGUGUGGGUCCACAUUCGGGGAAGUCCCUUGUGGCCUGCCAUGAUAUCAUACGAUCCAAUUCUUGGCCAGUUCAGCAAGAUAUCAUUGACACAGAAUUGGCAUAAGGUACGCAGUAUUCGCAUGUACCAUGUACAGUUCUUCAGUGACAACGCUUUGACCUACUGGAUUGCCCCAGGCAAUGUUCUGCCGUUUGAAGGUUUUGUGAAAUUGAAAGAAUUCCUCAGUGAACUAAAAUGCAAGUUGAAAGGGAUGAAGAGGUAUAAGCGACUGCAGACAGAAAGCCUCUUGAAAACAUUAGUGCAUAUGAACAAGAUAUCAUCUGGACAGAAGCAUGAACGUUGGAUUAAGGCCAUCGAGGAAGCAAAGGCUGCUUCUUCAAUGGAUAGGUAUGAAAGAAUACAAAAGUAUGCCUUAGAAAAUUCAGAGAUUGAAGAUAAGGAAGACAUACACAGAUUUGUUAAAUCAUCUCCAAGAAAUCUUUCAUUACUUAAAUCAAAGGAUCCAUCCUUUGAACCUAAACCAGAGAAGAGGAAAAGAGGUCGCCCUAGAAAAAUCUCACUCCAAAAUGAGUUGCCCAUCUUGAAAUCACUCAAGUCCAAUGGUGACUCAACAGAUGGGGAGUUCUCUGGUUUUGAUGAGAAUUCCUCUUGUGAAGAUAAGAAAAAAAAACUUAACAUUGUGUCCAAAUUGAGUAUGGAAAGUGACUUUGCUGUCUAUACCCAAAAACAUUUGGAAGAAUUCAUGUUAGAAAAUCCUGAAAUGUCUGCAGAAACAGCACAAAACAAAUUGAGAUGGAAAUGGAAGAAGAUGUCAAGUUCCCAGACUGCCAGAUACAAAUCUAAGUUUACGUGUGGGGAUAAGUACAUGUUAAAAGACCCAGAAGUGAAUAUGCUGAAGAGAAAACAUGACAUUCCUUUUGAGGAAGGUGAUGAGUGCGAAGAGAAUGAAGGACUUUCUGCUAAACGGCAGAGAACAGAAGAGGAAGUAGAGAGUAUACGUGGUGUUUACAAAGUAGUGCGUAAUGAGAAAGUGUGUUACCGGUGUGAGAGUGUAAGUAACAAGGCUGGGGCUGAUAUGAUCCGUUGUAAAGGACUUUGUUGUGGUGUUUUUCAUCUUAGCUGUUUAGGUUUAACUGCUAUGCCAAAAAGGGAUUUUAAAUGUGAAGAAUGCCAAACUGGGCAACACCCAUGUUUCCUGUGCAAAUCAUUUGUUGGUGUAGUGCAGAGAUGCACUGUGCCUUUCUGUGGCAAGUACUAUCAUGAGGAGUGUGUUCAGAAGUGGCCUCAAGUCUCCAAACAGCGGCAACAGGAGAGGUUUGUGUGUCCACGUCAUGCUUGUCACAUGUGCGCUGCAAAUGCUGAUGAUAUGGGUGACCCAGUGGCAAGAAACCCACCCUUUACCCGCUGUCUGCGAUGUCCAACUACGUAUCACACAGGUGAGGAUUGCAUAGCUGCAGGCACAGAAGAAGUAUCACAGAACCACCAUAUAUGCACCAAGCAUCUUCAGCUCCCAAAGAAUGGCACUCAUCAUGUCAAUGUUAACUGGUGCUUCUGCUGCUCGAAGGGUGGUUCACUUCUUCUCUGUGACCAGUGUCCAGCAGCCUUCCAUGCUGACUGUAUGAAGAUAACUGCUCCAGAAGGUGGUUAUGUCUGUGAAGAUUGUGAAUUUGGAAAAUUUCCCAUCUAUGGUGACAUUGUGUGGGUGAAGCUUGGAUUGUACAGAUGGUGGCCUGGUCAAGUCUUGCAUCCAAGAUUCAUCCCAGACAACAUUGAGAAUUUACAGCACCAGCAGGGCAUGUUUUGUGUUCAUUUCUUUGGCUCCAAUGACUACUAUUGGGUUACCAGAGGACGAGCUUUCCUUUAUCAGGAAGGGGAUAAAGGAUCAAGGGCACAGUCGAGUAAAACAUUAGAAAUGCAGUUCCGGCGAGCACUUGAAGAGGCAGCUGAAGCAUACAGAGCCCAGAAGACAAAGAAAACUCAGCGAGAGAUCCGAUGGUCUGAGAAGGGCAACCUGAAACCACCACCAUAUGUUAGGAUUGAUUCCAACCGUCCUGUAGGCAACAUACGUCUUAGCAAGUUGGACCUAGCAGCUGUUAACCGUUGUGAUUGUGAUCCAUACUCUGAGAAUCCAUGUGGCUCUGAUGAGAAGUGCUUGAACAGAAUGCUCAUGUUUGAGUGUGUCCGUGAAGUUUGUGGAGCCGGGGACAGGUGUGGUAACCAGAGGUUUCAAAAACGCCAGUAUCCCAAUGUGUGCUCCUUUAGGACAGAGAGUAGAGGAUGGGGUCUCAAGACAAACCAGGACGUUAAAAAGGGAGAAUUUGUGAUUGAAUAUGUAGGAGAGCUGAUCGACGAUGAAGAGUUUCAUCGUCGUAUUUUAGAAAUGCAUGAAGUAAAAGAAGAGAACUAUUACUUCCUCACCAUUGAUAAGGAUAUCAUGAUUGAUGCCGGUCCUAAGGGGAACUUAGCCAGGUUCAUGAACCAUUCAUGCCAACCAAACUGCGAGACUCAAAAAUGGACAGUUGGUGGGGAUACGCGAGUGGGACUAUUUGCAAUUGAGGAUAUUCCUGCUGGUUUUGAACUCACUUUUAACUAUAAUUUGCAAUGUGUGGGGACAGAAAAGAAACGAUGUUGCUGUGGUGCUCCAAACUGCAGUGGCUUCAUUGGGGUCAAAGUACAAAAGAAAGGGAGAAUAAUAGUAGUACCAGAACCUUUCACCAUUGAAGGUGACUGACUACAAAGGCUUAGGUCACCAAGCAAAAGCUCCAGAGCAAGCAGACGUUCCCGCAUCUGGAUAACCUGCCAAACGGCUGAAGUGUCAGGUCCAAAGAGAGAAAAAUUGGGUAAACAAAGACGAAAGCGUCGGCGACGUGAAGCCAAAUUGUCUGAAGAUGAAUGCUUUAGAUGUGGUGGCCCUGGUGAUCUGAUUCUUUGUGAUGUUGUUG
rnacentral:misc_RNA from 1 species